UACGUAGGUGGCGAGCGUUAUCCGGAUUUAUUGGGUGUAAAGGGUGUGUAGGCGGGAUGGCAAGUCAGAUGUGAAAAUUAUGGGCUCAACCCAUAACCUGCAUCAGAAACUGCUGUUCUUGAGAGUCGGAGAGGUAAAUGGAAUUCCAGGUGUAGCGGUGAAAUGCGUAGAUAUCUGGAGGAACACCGGUGGCGAAGGCGAUUUACUGGACGACAACUGACGCUGAGACACGAAAGCGUG
rnacentral:rRNA from 1 species